rnacentral:rRNA from 1 species
UACGUAGGGGGCAAGCGUUGUCCGGAUUUAUUGGGCGUAAAGAGCUCGUAGGCGGUUUGGUAAGUCUGGUGUGAAAUCUCCACGCUCAACGUGGAGGGGCCACCCGAUACUGCCAUGACUGGAGUCCGGUAGAGGAGUGUGGAAUUCCCGGUGUAGCGGUGAAAUUCGUAGAUAUCGGGAGGAACACCAGUGGCGAAGGCGGCGAUCUGGACAGAUAUUGACGCUGAGGUGCGAAAGCGUGGGGAGCAAACAGG